CGGGGCGGGGGCAUAUCAAUAAGCGGAGGAAAAGCAACCAACAGGGAUUGCCUCAGUAACGGCGAGUGAAGCGGCAACAGCUCAAAUUUGAAAUCUGGCUCUUUCAGAGUCCGAGUUGUAAUUUGUAGAGGAUGCUUCGGAAUGGUCCCAGUCUAAGUUCCUUGGAACAGGACGUCACAGAGGGUGAGAAUCCCGUAUGUGACUGGGUAACCGGCCCAUGUGAAGCUCCUUCGACGAGUCGAGUUGUUUGGGAAU
rnacentral:rRNA from 1 species